ensembl:lncRNA
GGAGAAAGAUGGAGAGAGGAUACAGCUCAAAGUCCAAUCUCUUGGCCUGUGACCGCUUCAAAGGCCCACACACGGCCGAAAGAAUCUGAUGAUGGAGUACAUGAUGAAGAUCACAAUGAUGACCCAGAGCUCUGGAAUGACCUAACCCUGGAAGACCAGCAGACAGUGGAUGCUGCUAUUGCAAAAAAAACAGCGCUCGCAGUGUUUUGCCCACACUCUCCAGCUGGUUGUGGGAGAUGGCUUGAAAGAAACAAAAGUGAUGACUCCUUCUCUUUCAAAGUUAUCGAAAAUCAGCUCACUGCUGCAUACAAGCACAACAUUCAAAUUUGGGGAAAGAGGCAUGCCUACUGCUGUCAACACAAGAUGGAACUCAACACUGAGUAAAGUGAAGGCAGUAAUCCAAUGUGGCCAUCUAAAGCUCUGUCAUGUUCUAGAAAAGGCUGGGCACAAGGAGUUGUUGUUCACAGUACGGGAGUGGAAUAAGGAGUUGGUGGACAUCCUGAAGCCAUUUGGAGCAACAGAUAUGACACAGGGGGAGAAGAUAGUCACAAUCAGUUCUGUUGUUCCCUCUGUCCUGUCCCUAAAUCACCACCUGGAGCAGCAGAAGAAUCAAGUCCAUUUCCUGAGCGGCCUGGUCAGAAGUCUCCAUGCAUCCCUGAACAAAAUAUUUAUUGGAAUCUUCAUCAAUGUGAAAAUGGCCAAGACAAGAUGGAAUCACUGCCCCCUUUUCAGAUCCAGUCUACCUCAAAGCAGCUGCCUUUGAUCCGGCUUUUUCUCUGAUGUGGGUGGAGCAGGUGUGCUGGUCAAGGAGGAGGUGGCACAAAGAGUGAAAGAACUGAUUCUGCAAGAUGCUGCAGGGACUGAGCAAGCUGUGCCUCUUGUUGAUGAGGAAGAGCGAGAGGACCAUAGUCCUGGACAAGAAGAAGAGCUGUUUGCAGCAUACUGUCCCCAAAGCACACACAUCCCUGGGUCGCUCGUCUUUUCAGUUCGACGCAGCUAGCGACUGGAACGAGCUGCAACAAGCGCUUAAACUGGACAGUUUUAUCUCCAUCUCUUCAUUCAAAGACUUAACCAUGGACGACACUCUUACUGACAGUUGUGGCUGUUUUGCGUGAUGUAUUGUUCUCUCUACCUUCUUGCCCUUUGUGCUGUUGUCUGUGCCCAAUAAUGUUUGUACCCUGUUUUGUGCUGCUACCAUGUUGUGCUGCUGCCAUGUUGUAUUGCUACCAUGCUGUGUUGUCAUGUGUUACUGCCAUGCUAUGUUGUUGUCUUAGGUAUCUCUUUAUCUAGUGUUGUGUUGUCUCUCUUGUUGUGAUGUGUGUUUUAUCCUAUAUUUUUAAUCUCAGCCCCCGCAGGAGGCCUUUUGCAUUUUGGUAGGCUGUCAUUGUAAAUAAGAAUUUGGUCUUAACUG